rnacentral:lncRNA from 1 species
UGUAGGAGGCUGCAUUCCCACAAUUGAGGAAGCACCUCCGACUAUUGAGCAGCUGGCGUCAGAGAAAUCUUCAAUUGGCCAGGACAUUUUGGAUGCAAGAGAGAGGAGACUGAUUCAAACCAGCUUCAAGUAGAGAAUUUAUUGUCUGGGAAAUGAAAUACGGAAGUCCAAGAGAGCAGCAAGCCUUGGGCAGCACUGGAGCCAGAAUAGCCUCAAAUGCUAUUGUCAAGGAUCUUUCUCUCUCUGUCAGGAAUGGUGCGGUGGCCUCAGUCCCCCUCGCCCGCCCCAGCCUCUGAGUCCCCCUCACUGAUAGUCCCCCAGGCAGGGACCAGGAGGCAACACAAGGUCACAGCCCAGGCCAAGGCCAUGGCCGGAUGGCACAGUCCAGCCAGCAAAGUUGACAGAAAUAGCUGCCCAGGGAUAUGGUGGCUCUCCUUCCCAAUUCUCUCCCUGCCACCGCUGGGCUGCAGGCCACAGACAGAUGCCAAAGGCAAGGAAGGAAACCAAUGACGAAGCUAAGGCCAGAUGGACCAGCGGCUGCUGCCCUCUCCCAG